rnacentral:rRNA from 1 species
UACGGAGGGUGCAAACGUUGCUCGGAAUCAUUGGGCGUAAAGCGCACGUAGGCGGCCUGUUAAGUCGGGUGUGAAAUCCCUGGGCUCAACCCAGGAAGUGCAUUCGAAACUGGCAGGCUUGAAUAUGGAAGAGGGUCGCGGAAUUCCCGGUGUAGAGGUGAAAUUCGUAGAUAUCAGGAGGAACACCAAUGGCGAAGGCAGCUCGCUGGGACGUGACUGACGCUGAGACGCGAAAGCGUGGGGAGCAAACAGG